CUGGGGCAAUCACGUGGAAUGCCAAAAAAAGAAACCUUUGUGCUGAGGUGAAGGGAUCGGAGCCCAGGCUGCAGCGGGCGGCUGCAGUGUUUCCUGCAAAAGCCCACUGAGAGCUCACGCUGUGACACAGCUGGAAAAACAUGUUCCCAGCCUGCACGCAGAAGCAAAGCUCUAAAACAGAGGAGCUUCAAGCUGACAAACAGCCCCGCUUGAAGGAGUUAAGCUGAAGAGCACUCAUCACUAAAAGCAUAACAUCUGCUGCAUGCCAGCUACUUUCCCUAAGUGUAAGAGGGCUUUAGUUAUGGCAUUGUCAUAUGCUACUUGACUGUAGAAAGACAGCUUUGAAAGUUACUUCUUUUGUGUAUAUCUUAAUGACUGUGGGAUACAAGCAGCAGCAGGACAAGUUCCAGUAGAUACUUGGAAGCCAAUCUUGUAUCAGACAUCAGUUACUUAACCAGGAAAAAUAACUGCUCCCCUACAGGUUGACCCAUUGCUCCUUUCCCCAGUUCUUUCCCUGUUUGCAGUAAUGGUGCCCUCCGCACAGAACCCAUCCCCUUAGAUCCAGAGCAGGAAGGAAAAAAAAGGAAAAAAACCCAGACCUUAAGUUGACUACUUGAUUUGGGACCAGUUUCCCUUGAAAUCAAGAGAUUACUUUAUGGAAUGCAAUACACCUUACUGUAACAGACAUUAGAAGUAUUCACUCCAACUAUUCACCUAGUAGGAUUAAAAAAAAAAAAAAAACACCGAAAUUCUGUAGGAUUAUGGAAAAAGGAGAAAGUCAGAAAUAUUCUCUUGAACUAGGAACUGUAGUGGAAAGUGAUCCCAUGCACCUGCCUCAAGGCUGGAACAGAACACAACACCUGAGCAGUAGGAGCAGAAGCCACCCGCUGUGCCUACUUUGAAGCGCUGCCCACCCGACCAAUGUUUUAGGAUCUCCCUGCAGCACAGCUGGUGGGAGGAAUCACUGCUUCCCCUCCUGCAGUUCUCUGUGCUUUCAAACCCUUUCUCCAGAAGCAAAGAAUAGAAAUAAUUCAGGAAUGAAAGCUGCUUAGAAAACUCAAGGGAUUUUAAUGACCGAAUGCAAAAGGAACUACUCGGAUUCAAGUAGCAAACAGGUAUUUUGCUAGCAGAGCACAAGCUGAAGAUUUUAAAGAAGCCACAGACAUGAGAAGCCCAACAUACAGCAGUUUGAGGAAGAAGGCAUUUUACACGAGAGUUUAUCAACACAAAACUGUUUAAUAUUUAUUAAAUGACACAAAAUACCUAGAUAACAGACUCACUCUCUGAAAGGACAUGUAUUUACAUUAUUUACCAACUUUAAGAAAGACUCUCUGUACCCAUAUCAGACUUGUUAUGAAACAUUAAAAAGGUUUUGCUGCUUUUUGCAUCAACGGAUGCAAUGGUGACACAUGCCCUGUUUGCAAGUCUGCAUAAACUCUAACUUUUUGAUGCAGUGAAAAAGCACAAUUUUAUAUUCCAGUAGCCGAGUGAAGAGGCUUCUGAGAAGUAACAGGGUUAGUUGUUUUCUUCUUCCCACUCCAGACAUACUCUGAAGAAUUGUUAUACAAAAAGUAUAUUACAUUUUUGAAUGCUGCUGUACUCUUACAAUUUUAGUGUAACUUUCCAAAGAAAAUAUUCUUCCUAUUGUAUGAAAUCACUAAAAACCAACCCAACAAAGUGGUAUUCGGACGUGUCUUCUGAUGUACUGUUUCUUUUUUUUUUUUUUUUUUUAAAGGAAAAAAAAGAAAGAAGAAAGCAUUAGGGCAAAUGAUAUGCUUAGGAAAAAUCAACCAGCUGACUGAUAAGAAAAGAGCAGAGACCAAAAUAUGAAGCACAGCUAAAGCAACUUAAUUUGCUAGGGUUUUUUUUUUUUUUUUUUUCCUUUUUAUUAACUAUUUACUUUGGCACCUUUGUGUAAACUAUAGAACAAAACAAUGUUUACAACACAUUUGCAAUUACAGCAUUUAAACAAAAUGGUCACUUCUUAAACCAGCCAAGACAAAAAAAUAUUCCAUUUACGGGUAUAAAGAUUAAAAAAACUUAAAAUAUAUAUUUCUAAGAAUAAACUGCAAUUUCUUAUGAACAAGGUGCUAUAAACUGCAUGCAAGAGUCAAGAUUAAAAAUGUGUGGCCAAACAGACAAGCUGUGUUAUAGCCAAAUGAGCAGUGGUCCAAGCCCACUUGUUUUUUCAUACAGAGAUAUAUAUGGCUCAAUAGGCAGGCACAUGAUCCCGGCAAGAGGUUGCAGAGUUGUACAGCCGGACAAUAAAUCUUGGCUGCAGCUUUGUCAUGAACGAGGAAUGAGUAAGACCUUAGCAGAAGAGAUGAAGUUCUCGGGGAAAAGCCAUGAAGAAUGAGAAGCCUUCUCCCCUCCCUCUUGCUCCUCUACUCAGCCCAGUCAGUGUUCUCAAUGUCUGCUCUUUGGGUUGCUUUAACUGGAUUGCCACUCGGGGCUGCCUCAGAUCACCAAAGUCUUAUGAAAGCUGAGGACGUUUUUAAUGUAAUAAUUUCCGCAUUUAAGUUACUGAAGUGGAUGGGAUAAAAAUUAAACAGGCCCCUGCACCUGUCUGCUUAGUCUGACUGAUUGCAACAAGCUUAUCCGAUGAGGGAGGUUUUUACCAGAAUAGGUAUUUUUAAUGUGCGAUGGUGUUUGAUUGAUUUGCUACAACCAAGUGAAGGGAACCAGCUCAACAGCAAUUUUUAUAGUCUCCUGUCUCCCAAAGAGUUUAUGUUCCUUCUUCAAAAUACCAUUUUAAAAGGAAUCUUUUAUUGGCUAAAAAUACAAAACACAUACAAGAAAAAAGAAUGUUGAAUGGAAAACACAGAUGGGUUUUUUUUCGAGGGGGGGGAUUCUUUUCUCCCCAGUGGAUUGCCAUUUGAAAUAAUACUUAAAGACUUGGCUCUGUUUCUCUGUUUGCAGGAGCAAUCUUCAAGUUUUUUUUAACCAAAUAAUUCUAUUAAUUUCUUUUUUCCAGAGACAAUGGUGGCCCCGGAUGCCUACCAGUAGUUACGCUGUAACAGUGUCAAAGGUUAAGGCAGAUUUUCUGCAGAUCAUGUAAAGAACUGUACUACAGUUACUAGAGGGUGACAGUAAGUAAUUCAGUAGGAGAAAAAAACCACCUGCUCCAUCUGUCAACUGAGGACUGCAUACAAAGAAGCCUGAGAAAACUUCCCAACAAGAAAAUACAGAAUUAAACAAUGGACCAAAAAAGCAGUAAGGAUGGGAGACAUCCAAUACAAAACAGACACACACACCCCCUCUCUCACAUGUAGGCCCCUGAAAGUGGGAUCACAGUGAUAAAAGUUAGAGAUCAUAGAGCGGUGUGAAAGACAUCUGUCAUAUCAGGGGACUCUCCUCUUCAGACCCAGAGUCAAAUGGAAUUAUGAAGACCAGAUACUUUCUUGCAGCUUCCUGCACAUCUUACUAAAUAACAUGCAAAGAGUUCAACAGCAUUCUUCUUAAAAUGUAAAUAGUACUCUUUAAAUGGGCAUGUUAACCACUGAAAGAAGUCCACUCUACUAUACUCCUCCAUUACACUGCUUUCAUUCAGUCAUCGGUAGUAUAAAAAGUCAAUUAACGGGAUUAACAGGCUAGUUUAUCCACUGGCAAUUGCGUAUGACACCAAGUGUGCAGUAAAACAAAGGCCAACAUAUGUUUACGCAAUAUAGUUGUACUGAUUUGGGUUUUCUUUAUCUCUUUCCAUGUAGUCUCUGUCAAUUAAGGAUUCUAUUCUCUUCUUAAGGUCAGCAGGCUGUAAAUUAAAGCAGAUGUCAGCAUUAUUAUUUUGUAGUCGACGCUUCUCAAUCCUACCUAAGCCAAAUAUCCAUACUGCUUGAGAUGACUGAUGAACCAUAUUAUAACUUACAUCUCUCAACACAUCAAAGCUUCUUAAACUUGCAGUGUGCAAUUAAAGAGAAAGUUACAAGAUUAGACAGAAUGCACCAUAUAUCUGAGCUCAGAUGUUAUCACAGAAUCACAGAAUCUAUGUUAUCUAAGCUAUGUCACUGUCUUUUGGAAAAUCAGUUUGCACUUGUACACAGUAAGCUAUUCUUUCUCAUAUUGCAUCUGUUACUACUAACAAACUCCCAGUUCUGAAAACCUUUACUAUGUUGUACUAAUGAAGAGGUUAACAUUCAGAUAAACUAAUGAAACCGACACUUUAAAAAAUCCUGAAAUUACGUACUUUUUGUUCCUUCUAUCAGGAAAGGGAACACAUGUUUCAGAUAGAAGCACUGUUUAACUGAGAACAGGUCAAGGAAUGUGAAGAGAGGUAAUACAUUUUGAAAACAAAAGAAAUCAGUACUACACCUUUACUGGGAAUUUAAGCUGGUUGUAGACCUCUGACACAAGCAAGUUAUGACUCAGUGUUUUUCGCAUCUUCAUAAUUCGAACAAUAGCGGCAUCAAUCUGGUAUUGCCGGUCCUGGAAUACUCUCUCUGUAGUGCUUGCCUGUUCCUCUACCUGAUGGAUCCAUUUAAAAAGAGUUUUAAAGAGAACAUCAGAACUGUUGAAUCCAUUCUUCUUCAUAUCUAAGACAAGUCUUAUUGUGAGACACUAAAAGGUCUACUGUAAAAUACUGGACAUAAAUCCUACAAAAUAUGGAAGUCCACUGUCUUAAGAACUUGUACUCAAGAGCAAAAUCUUUGCACAACUUUUACAUUGGUUGGCAAAUUCACAGUGAAUUUGUUUCUAUGUUCACAAAUCAGUAAAGGUCUAGGGAAUGAUUAAGGGUGAACAGAACAUUCAUACUUGGAACCUCUGCUAAUCAACCUUAGAGAUGUCAAGGAUGAUCGAUAUCUAAGUUAGCACAGAAGCUCACGUUUAAAUCUCCACUAUUAAGUGGAGAUAUCAUCCAAAGAGAUAUCAUCCAAAAUACAUGUGCAUCCUUCACACAGAUACCAUUAUGUACAUUACAACCGAGAGGAAUAAAGCUUGUAAAUGGGCAAGCAAUGAGAUACUUAACCCAAGAAUAAAAAACCUAGAGUAUUAGAAAAAACAACAAAAAAUAUACCGUUUCUUUCAUCUGAAUUUGGUUGAUUUUUAUCCUGAACAGCUUAUGUCUGAAAUCAUCAUUGCAUGUGAAUUUAUCACCAUCUUCCACAUCUUUUCCUUUGGGGCUCUUUGUCAGUACUCUAGCUUUGCCACAAGCCAGAGACUGAAGUGUCCUUCGCAGCUCUCCAUCCUCUAAAGCAGAAACAAGUUGUUCAGUAUUUUCACUCAAGAGCACACUUGAAGCAGUCAGUGUUUUUAGUACCAACCUAUCCCAGUGGCUUGCUUUAUCUCCUCUAGACUGAACUCCUCUCCUUCAUUAAACAUGAGCAGCACUAGUGUCUGGAACAAGGAGACCUGAAGUUCUUUUUUGCCCUAUCACAGAGGAAAUAACAGACAUCAUUAGGUUGUUCUCAGGGGGGAUCAACUCACUCUUCCAUGUAAAUUAUUUCACUUACAGGAUGCAGUUGUUCCUUAUUCAUUUUAGAAUAUGAAAGAAUAAAAGUUAUUGUUCUCCUCAUGUUUACUAUGAAAUGCAGAGCAAGACAGAGGUCAGAUUAGACUACCAUACCCACUGACAAAAUUUGCUAAUGUAUGUAUCAAAUUUAGACACAUUCAAAUCCAAAGCGUGCUUAAAAUUACAAUUUGAAAGACCUUUAAUCCAAACUGUAAGACGAGCAUUAGUCUAAAAACAUAGUUGCUAUUACUAUCUCUUUAAUAACUAAGUUGGAUAACACUUGUUUUAUCAUUAACAUUAUGAAAAACAAAACUUAGUAAACAUUCCCAGCUUUCAAGGGAAAUCAUCACAAGAUAUAUUCAUGCCCACGAAGAAAUGAUAAAGGGAAAUACUGGGAAACUCUCUAAAAACUGC
rnacentral:lncRNA from 1 species